UUUGAUUCCAUAUUCUCAAGUUUUCUCAGGUAGAAAUUUCUGACCAUUACAUGCAGAUGAAUAAAUAGAGGAAUUGAGGUAACUGAUUGAAGAGACAUUAUUGUCCAUGUUACACACAUCCAGAACAUUUUGAUUCAGCAAAAGGCACUGUUUAGAGCAGGCAGCAGGAUCCAUGAAAAAGUCAUUCAUUAUCAGUCAAGUUUUCCAUUUCCGUGUAAAACAAAUGUUAUUACAAGGAUCCAUGGGAACAGUCAGUGUUUGUUGUAGUCAUUGUUUUGGAAAAUCAAAUGUUCUUAGAACAUUCUCUGCUUAAGCCACAUUGCCUCAGGACAGAUAUUCACAAAAUGUAUAGACACAUUGUAUAACAUCAGCAUGCUUUGGAAUAUCCAGGAACAUCCAUCAAUGUAGUUGACAACAUGGGCAUCAAUAUGCAUAAAGGAUCAACCGAUGUCUUAGUGUCAUCAGGUGAUCUCUGCAACCACAGCUUGCUUAGACGUAGGAACAGCUGAUUCCACUGUGCUGCAUCUGGAUACUCCCAGCAGUAAGAGCAGAGAUCCCAGAGGAAAUAAGGAGAAGGAAAAGGGAAUCUAGAGCUGGAGCAAAGAGCUGGGAAAGGAAAUGACGGUACCAUGGAAUCUGGUGACCAGAAAGGGGCAAACGACCUGAAUCUGUUUUUCAACAGAUUUGAUUCAGGCCUUACUCCCUCCCCGACCAACCCUGCAUCCUCCUUACAUCACUACACCCCACCCUCUACUGACCUCAGUAGUCUCUCCUAUCUCCCUACUUCUCAGUUUCCGUCACUCCUUCCCUCAGUAUCUCAAAAACAGGGGCCUAGGUGAGGAGGGAGUUAAAGAUGCUCAAGGUGAGGAAAGCCACAGGACUGGAUGGUUUCGGCUCCAGACUGCUAAAGGAUUAUGCAGAACAAUUCUAUGAGGUCUUCUGCACAUCUUCAGUCUGAGUCUCAGCCUGGAGAGAGUCCCAGUCCUGUGGAAAACCUCCUGUGUGGUUCCAGUUCCAAAAGACUGCACACCCAAGAAGCCCAGCCACUUCAGACCUUAACUUUGCACCUCAUCAAGACCUGGUAGAGGAUUGCAUCAAACCACCUUCAACCCCUGGUGAGCUCGUACAUGGACCCACUGCAGUUUACGUAUCGGUCUGGAAUUGGGGUGGAUGAUACAAUCAUCUACCUGCUGCACAGAUUGCUCUUACAGCUGGAGAGUACAGGGCACACUGUGAUGGUCAUAGUUUCUGAUUUUUCCUUUGCAUUUACACAGUAUAUGAGCCUCCACGGCUGUGUGUCUGAUGAGGGGUCUGCAGAAUGGGGGCUCCAUAAGGGUUGGUGCUCGCUCCCUUUAUCUUCACUCUGUACACAUCAGACUUUACAUACAACAGGAUCAAACAGCCAUUGUUGGAUGUGCAUCAGAGGAGAACCAACAAGUGUACUGGAAGAUCAUCCAGAACUAUGCUGAUUGGUGUGAACUAAAAAAAUCUCCACCCAAACACAAAGGAACCGGUGAUAGCCUUCCGCUGGAAAUCACCCCAGAUUACACCAGUAAACUUCCAACUGUUGGACAUUGAAAUAAUAAUGAAGGACUCCAAGUACGUUGGUGUUCACUUCAACCAUAAACUGGAUUGGCCAAACAAUACAUCCGUCCAUUAUUUAUAUAACGCUUAAUCCUCAGCAUAUCAGGCAAAAGCAAGGGACAGCCUGGACAGAUUGCCAGUCUAUCACAGGACUACACAGAGAGACAAACAAACAAGCACUCUUACAUUCACCCCUACGGACAAUUUAGAAAUUCCAAUCACCCUCAGCAUAUUUUUGGACUGUGGGAGGAAGCCGGAGAACCUGAAGAAAACCCACGCAUGCAGAAAGAUCCUAGGACCAGGCCAAGACACGAACUGGGGAUCUUCUAGCUGAAAGGCAACAGUGCAGCCCUAAUAAUACAGAUGUCCUGUGCUGGGGUGACUGAGGUCUUAUAGUGUGUGCAGGACACUAUUCAAAACCAUCUUCUGCUUCUGCAUCCUUCUGUGCAGCACUCUCCUCAGGAUAUGGAAGAACAGACAGGGACAGAAGGAAACUAAACAAACUAGUAAGGAUGAUCAGCUCUGUCCUGGACUGCCCUCUGGACUCCAUCAAGGAGAUGAAUGAGAGGAGGACGUUAGCCAAGCUGACAUCUAUCCUAGAAAACAUCUCUCACCCCAUGCAUGAGACUGUGGGGACCUUAAACAGCUCCUUUAACAAGAGACUGCUGCAUUCACAAUACAAGAGGAAGCAGAACUGCUCUCCCAGAUCAAUCAGCAAAACAUGACACUGUUCUCUUACAGCUCCUCAUGUGUACUAAUAUCACGUUCAGCACAGGUCUUUUCCCCUUGAUAAUGUUUUUGACUGAAAUAACAAAAGUGUGGGUACAUUAUCCUCCAUGUCAUACCCGUAUAUAUGCAUAUUCAUACAUAUCCAUGUUUACUCAUCAUGUCAUAGCUAUGUUAUCUGUAUAUGUAUAUCUAUCUAUAUCUACAUCUGUAUGAAAUUGAAAGAUGGACAGGCGUGAAUUAUUUUUUUAAAAUUUGGUGAACUGACGUGGAAUGAAACCAGCUGUCCUCACAACCACUGAGAAAAUAUUGUCAACGUUGGUCUUUUGAAAGGAAUAAUAAGUGCCACAUCAAAUGUCAAACACUGACUGUUCCCAUGGAUCCCUCUGGAAGAAAUGUUAAUCCAAGAAAAUGGAAAACUUAGAACUUCUACGUAAUACACUGUAAACUCAUGAACUUCAAAAUCCCUUUGACGUCAUUCAGGACCCGACGGGUGCAAGAAAACAGACAUGUUUGCAUGCAUAUGCUAAUGUACAUGAAACAGUUCAUGCUUAUGUGUUUGGGUCAUCAGAGUAACCUGGUCUCCUGUGUAUUUAACAACCGUUAAAUCUGUUGAUGUUAAGGAAGCAGGCAGUAAAGCCACAUCCUAUACAGAUGAAAUGAUAGGAAAAGUCAGUUAAGAAGACUUCCCUCUUCGGUCAAAACAGUCGUACAUUUUGGUUUGAUAGUUAAGCAGUCUCUAUUCAUUUUCUGGCACUUAUUUAGUUUAAUACUUGCUUUGCGUACUUGUUGACAAUUGCAUCAAGCAGCCAAGCAGGGAUCCCCUACAACAACUGCAAGACAGAAAUUUCAUGCUAAAGAUGGAAACUACAAGAAAAAAAAAAAACAACUGAAACCAGGAAUGUGAACUGACACAUGACUCUGCACCUGUUCUCCAUCUGUUCGGUUGUCGUUUGUGGUGAAGCCUUUGAAUUCCACACUCUGACUGUUGUCUGUCCU
ensembl:lncRNA